rnacentral:misc_RNA from 1 species
AGCAGCCGCGGUAAUUCCAGCUCCAAUAGCGUAUAUUAAAGUUGUUGCAGUUAAAAGCUCGUAGUUGAAUUUCGAGACCGGUUUACUGGUCGUGCUUUUGUACGUACUGGUAUUAUUGGUUUCUCCUUUCUGACGAAUCUUAAUGCCAUUAAUUUGGUGUUUUGGGGAAUCAGGACUGUUACUUUGAAAAAUUAGAGUGUUUAAAAGCAGGCUCACGCUUGAAUACAUUAGCAUGGAAUAACGGAAUAGGACGUUUGAUUCUAUUUUGUUGGUUUCUAGGAUCGACGUAAUGAUUAAUAGGGAUAGUUGGGGCAUUAGUAUUCAAUUGUCAGAGGUGAAAUUCUUGGAUUUAUUGAAGACUAACUACUGCGAAAGCAUUUGCCAAGGAUGUUUUCAUUAAUCAAGAACGAAAGUUAGGGAUCGAAGACGAUCAGAUACCGUCGUAGUCUUAACAUAAAC